GCCCCCUGUCAGCCUGAGGUAUUUUCCUUAUAUGAUCAGGCCUCACGUGGCCGGCGCUGCUGGUCUGGAGCCUGAGAGGAUUAUGAAAACGUGGCAGGUGAUGGGC
ensembl:scaRNA